ACUGUUUAAAAAGUAUAGCCGAUAUAUUCGAAUAGUGGCGGAGACGACGACGAAGCCGCCGCUAUGGACAGCGACGAAGUUGGAGUUGCGGAUUACGAGUUCAUCGACAACGACUCUGACAAUUCCAAUGAUGUUGCCUCACAUCGAUACCAGGUUUAUGUGAUUGGGGAGGAAGGUAUCUUGCUGGAUAUCAAUACCUUGGUGGACCAGUAAGAAGACGGUGGGAAGAAGAUAGAUCUGAAGCCUGGAUUUCUGAUGGAACAUGAUGAGAAUGUUGGAGCUGUUGUGGUUGGAUUUGACCGAAAUUUCAGCUACUACAAAAUUCAUGCACUUGUCACAUGUAUUGCAGUCUUCUCUGGUGGCAGUCAAUGUUUAUGUGAUGGAAGGUAUGGGACACUCUAUGCGUGAAAACCCUGGAUGUCUUUUCAUUGCAACAAAUCGCGAUGCUGUCACUCAUCUCACAGAUGCUCAGGAAUGGGCAGAAUCAGUUCUAGCAGAAAGUGUUCAAAAUCUGAAUGAGAAAAUCGAUCGUAUCGAAGAGUGUUGACGACAUGGCGCAUAAUAUCCAGCAUUUGCAGUCUGUUUUGUUCACUCUUAAGGGAGACUCAAUGGCUACUGAUGAGAGGCUUAACGCUCUAGAAGAAGAGGUUCAUAUCUUUUUCAAUUUCUUUUUGCAAUUUCAAUUCAAUGAAAAAGUAGCAGAAAGAGUUUGUUGGAUUUGAGAAUUAGGCUUCGCAAUGCUUUUUAGGUACAACUUCGAUCUCCAUGUUUUAGAGUCUAAAGCACAAGAUGCUGAGGAUAGACUCGAAAUGGUUGCCUCUCAGGCUCAAAAGGUCAUGCACUGAUGUACUCAAUCCAUCUAUGGUCUAUGGCUAUGAGUCUGUGAUGUUGUUAUUGUGGUGUUCAUUUUGCCAUUGGCUUCUUUCUCUUUGCUUUCAAAUGCCUGACAUUGUUACAGAACAAUGGAUUCAAAUUCAGCGGCUUGAGCAGGCUCUUCAUAUGACACAAGUUUUUUCUGCUUGAAA